UUAGGGAGCAAUCUUAUGGCCCUUAGACAGAAAUCCUAUGGCUCGUAGAUGGUACUCCAACUUCAGACCCAGGAGUAUGAGCUCCCAGCCCCAUCACAGUUGAUGCAAAGAGAACCGCACUGGCUGCCACUCCAAGGUCACAAAAGCAACCUUGGAGAGGAGGGAAAUGGGGUGGUUCUGUGGGCGGGGAGGGGACUGGGGAGGCCAGCUUGCAAAGAAUCCUCUUGCUUUCCCAGCCUCCUUCCCUCCCACUCUGCAGAGCCCCAGCUAGAUGGGCAUAAAAGUUCAUCUAGCAAAAAUGCAGAUUGGGAGGAACACGGAGGCAAAGAUUGCCUCCAUUCUCCUCCCACUCUGCACAGGAUGUCCAUUAGCCUCCAAAUUCAAAGGCUGAUAGCAUCCCAAUAGAAUUGCACCCUUAAUCUGUGUGCCUUUUAUGAUUCAUCCUGUUUAAGUCUGCACUUAAAUUGUUGUGGAGAAAGCCUUGGCACAUGUACUUUCCCAUUCCCCUAUAAUUAACAUGAGCCUAUUUUGCUUCGUGAUAACUUUUUUAUUAUUAUUAUUUUAAAUCAUUUCCCCUGGUGCCCUGAAAUCAGGAAAUAUAUAACUUGGAACGCCUCUGGAAAUUGAAUUUUGUUCUGCAAUAAAUUUUUUGUAAACCAAA